GCGCAGCAGUCGCGAAACUUUACAAUGUGCGAAAGCACGAUAAGGGAACUCUGAGUGCCUCCUAAGGAGGCUGUUCAGGUGUCUAAAAGCACCUGGAGUAAGGGCUGGGUAAGACCGGUGCCAGCCGCCGCGGUAACACCGGCAGCCCAGGUGGUAGCCACUUUUAUUGGGUCUAAAGCGUCCGUAGCCGGUUGAGUAAGUUCCUUGGGAAAUUUGGCUGCUCAACAGUCAAGCUUCCAGGGAAUACUGCUCGACUUGGGGACUGGGAGAGGUCAGAGGUACUCCAGGGGUAGGGGUGAAAUCCAUUAAUCCCUGGGGGACCACCGGUAGCGAAGGCGUCUGACCAGACCAGGUCCGACGGUGAGGGACGAAGGCUA
rnacentral:rRNA from 1 species